GCAUCUAGAUUAGAGUUUGAUCCUGGCUCAGGUUGAACGCUGGCGGCAUGCUUUACACAUGCAAGUCGAACGGCAGCGCGGGGCAACCUGGCGGCGAGUGGCGAACGGGUGAGUAAUAUAUCGGAACGUACCCAAGAGUGGGGGAUAACGUAGCGAAAGUUACGCUAAUACCGCAUACGAUCCAAGGAUGAAAGCAGGGGACCGCAAGGCCUUGUGCUCCUGGAGCGGCCGAUAUCUGAUUAGCUAGUUGGUGAGGUAAUGGCUCACCAAGGCGACGAUCAGUAGCUGGUCUGAGAGGACGACCAGCCACACUGGAACUGAGACACGGUCCAGACUCCUACGGGAGGCAGCAGUGGGGAAUUUUGGACAAUGGGCGCAAGCCUGAUCCAGCAAUGCCGCGUGAGUGAAGAAGGCCUUCGGGUUGUAAAGCUCUUUUGUCAGGGAAGAAACGGCGCCGGCUAAUAUCCGGCGCUAAUGACGGUACCUGAAGAAUAAGCACCGGCUAACUACGUGCCAGCAGCCGCGGUAAUACGUAGGGUGCAAGCGUUAAUCGGAAUUACUGGGCGUAAAGCGUGCGCAGGCGGUUUUGUAAGUCUGUCGUGAAAUCCCCGGGCUUAACCUGGGAAUUGCGAUGGAGACUGCAAGGCUAGAAUCUGGCAGAGGGGGGUAGAAUUCCACGUGUAGCAGUGAAAUGCGUAGAGAUGUGGAGGAACACCGAUGGCGAAGGCAGCCCCCUGGGUCAAGAUUGACGCUCAUGCACGAAAGCGUGGGGAGCAAACAGGAUUAGAUACCCUGGUAGUCCACGCCCUAAACGAUGUCAACUAGUUGUCGGGUCUUAAUUGACUUGGUAACGCAGCUAACGCGUGAAGUUGACCGCCUGGGGAGUACGGUCGCAGAUUAAAACUCAAAGGAAUUGACGGGACCCGCACAGCGGUGGAUGAUGUGGAUUAUUCGAUGCAACGCGAAAAACU
rnacentral:rRNA from 1 species